AGUGAACGCUGGCGGUAGGCCUAACACAUGCAAGUCGAACGGCAGCACAGUAAGCUCUUGCUCUUACGGUUGGCGAGUGGCGGACGGGUGAGGAAUACAUCGGAAUCUACUUUUUCGUGGAGGAUAACGUAGGGCAACUUACGCUAAUACCGCAUACGACCUACGGGUGAAAGCAGAGGAUCUUCGGACCUUGCGCGAUUGAAUGAGCCGAUGUCGGAUUAGCUAGUUGGCGGGGUAAAGGCCCACCAAGGCGACGAUCCGUAGCUGGUCUGAGAGGAUGAUCCGCCACACUGGAACUGAGACACGGUCCAGACUCCUUAGGGAGGGAGGAGGGGGGAAUUUUGGAGAAUGGGGGGAAGCCUGAUCGAGCCAUACCGGGGGGGGGAAGAAGGCCUUCGGGUUGGAAAGCCCUUUUGUUGGGAAAGAAAAGCAGCAGGUUAAAACCCCGCUGUUCUGACGGUACCCAAAGAAUAAGCACCGGCUAACUUCGUG
rnacentral:rRNA from 1 species